ACAGAGGUCCCAAGCGUUGUUCGGAUUCACUGGGCGUAAAGGGUGCGUAGGUGGCGAAGUAAGUCGGAUGUGAAAUCUCCGAGCUCAACUCGGAAACUGCAUUGGAAACUACUUUGCUUGAGGGUUGGAGGGGGGACUGGAAUACUUGGUGUAGCAGUGAAAUGCGUAGAUAUUGAGGGGAAGACAAGAGGCGAAGGCGAGUCCCUGGACUACUCCAUACACUUGGGCAUUGAAGUUAGGGUAGCUAACAG
rnacentral:rRNA from 1 species